GUAGCAGUGAAGUUUCGCUCAGAUAUCCUCGACCUGGUGCAGUACGAGCCGGUUUUUACAACGAUAGAACUUUAUGGAUACCUCAGCGGCUACCUUGGGAUCUGGUUCGGUUUCUCGUUCGCGGCGUCACUUCUACAAGGGCAACGCUACGUGGAAAAAUUAUUGAGAGACAUCGUGGACGUGUUUUCAGCUCGCACCGACGCGCCUCGGCCCCGUCCACGCAAAGUGAGCUGGAGAACGACUACAGUGAGGCCUCGGCCCAUCCGGAACUAAGGAUGACAUACAAAUACCUCUACGUACACCACAUGACACACUGCAUCGUCAUUUCAGGUGUUAUUCGUCGCACAGCCUAGCCG